rnacentral:lncRNA from 1 species
CGCUUGCAGGUUGUGCGAAGGGGUUUGUUGCUUGUCUUGUGCUACCGGAUUUAAACGUUUCCUGUGUGCAGCCUCUAUGCCUCUUCGAACUGUGCGGCAGGUGUGAAACAGAUGUGGUUCAGUAAAACCGUGAGAAGUCAUUUGAAAUGCGGGGUGCACCAAAAGUCACGUUCGUCAUUUGCGGAGACGGUUACCGCGCCGUUGUGGACAACCUCGAGAAGUGCUUCAUAUCGCUGAGCGUUGCCGAUAUGGCAAAAAAGGCCAUUAUCGGCAAAGUGAGCCGGGUAAGGACAUCAAGAAGAGCUGCUAUUACAGGGAUGUCCACCUUCUUUGAGAUGGAGAAAAAAAACGACUCGCCGUGCAACACAAUCUUUUCUACCAGAGUGACUGUGAAAAGAACGUCAGAACUUGGAAGGUUUCAGUGAUAUCCUCCAGGUCAGGCACCUUCGGCAGAAACACUGCAGCUGCUGCUACCACCACCACGACCUAUACUUCACUUCAGCCAUUGCUGCAUCACAACCAGUAUUACAACUUCUGAGCCGCUACCACAGUCCUUCCCAAUGAUGCCUCACCUUGACAGGGCUUCACAUGCUUCAAGAAGAAGCUG